rnacentral:rRNA from 1 species
UACGUAGGGGGCAAGCGUUGUCCGGAAUCAUUGGGCGUAAAGAGCGUGUAGGCGGUCCGGUAAGUCGGCUGUGAAAGUCCAGGGCUCAACCCUGGGAUGCCGGUCGAUACUGCCGGACUAGAGUUCGGAAGAGGCGAGUGGAAUUCCCGGGUGUAGCGGUGAAAUGCGUAGAUAUCUGGAGGAAUACCGGUGGCGAAGGCGGCAUCCUGGACCUAACUGACGCUGAGGCGCGAAAAGCUAGGGGAGCAAACGGGG